GAAAUGCGAUAAGUAAUGUGAAUUGCAGAAUUCCGUGAAUCAUCGAAUCUUUGAACGCACAUUGCGCCCUCUGGUAUUCCGGGGGGCAUGCUUGUCCGAGCGUCAUUGCGAACCCCUCAAGCACGGCUUGUGUGAUGGGCCCUCCCGCGUCUUGGUCGUCAAGACGGGCCCGAAAUGCAGUGGCGGCUUCGCGGUUAUCCGAUCAGCCAGAGCGUAUGGGGACUUUCUCUCUGUCACACGCCCGCGGCGCGGACCGACGCCUGUCGACCUUCAUUCAUCGUUUUCUCGGUUGACCUCGGAUCAGGUAGGGAUACCCGCUGAACUUAAGC
rnacentral:misc_RNA from 1 species